CAUUGGCCCAAUACUUACACCUACACCAAGGCCUUGGGAGAAAUGGUGGUGCAGCAGGAGAGCAGGAGCCUAACCAUCGCCAUCAUAAGGCCCUCCAUUGUGGGAGCAAUGUGGCAUAAGCCUUUCCCAGGUUGGGUUGAUAAUCUAAAUGGACCUAGCCGACUCAUUAUUGCGGUAUGUAUAGGGAUGAAGAAAUAACUCUGAAAUGUAGUGGAGGAAUAGUAACAGAAUUCUUAGUGCUGGCUUAGCUUCAUUGAUCCAAAAACGUAAAUGCUACUUUACUAUCAA